rnacentral:rRNA from 1 species
UGAGUAACACGUAGGUAAUCUGCCUUCAGGUCUGACAUACCCGAGAAAUCGGGGCUAAUAGCAGAUGAUGCAGCGGCUUGACAUCAAGACAGUUGUUAAAGCUUCGGCGCCUGAAGAUGAGCCUGCGUCUGAUUAGCUAGUUGGCGGAGUAAUAGCCCACCAAGGCGACGAUCAGUAGCUGGUCUGAGAGGAUGAUCAGCCACACUGGAACUGAGACACGGUCCAGACUCCUACGGGAGGCAGCAGUAGGAAUAUUGCUCAAUGGGAGAAAUCCUGAAGCAGCAACGCCGCGUGAGGGAUGAAGGGCUUUUGCUCGUAAACCUCUGUAGUGAGGGAAAAAUUUCCAUUCUAUGGAAUAUGAUGGUACCUCAAAAGUAAGCCCCGGCUAACUACGUG